GAUGAACGCUGGCGGCGUGCCUAAUACAUGCAAGUCGAGCGAACGGACGAGAAGCUCGCUUCUCUGAUGUUAGCGGCGGACGGGUGAGUAACACGUGGAUAACCUACCUAUAAGACUGGGAUAACUUCGGGAAACCGUAGCUAAUACCGGAUAAUAUUUUGAACCGCAUGGUUCAAAAGUGAAAGACGGUCUUGCUGUCACUUAUAGAUGGAUCCGCGCUGCAUUAGCUAGUUGGUAAGGUAACGGCUUACCAAGGCAACGAUGCAUAGCCGACCUGAGAGGGUGAUCGGCCACACUGGAACUGAGACACGGUCCAGACUCCUACGGGAGGCAGCAGUAGGGAAUCUUCCGCAAUGGGCGAAGGCCUGACGGAGCAACGCCGCGUGAGUGAUGAAGGUCUUCGGAUCGUAAAACUCUGUUAUUAGGGAAGAACAUAUGUGUAAGUAACUGUGCACAUCUUGACGGUACCUAAUCAGAAAGCCACGGCUAACUACGUG
rnacentral:rRNA from 1 species